rnacentral:rRNA from 1 species
UACGUAGGUGGCAAGCGUUGUCCGGAAUCACUGGGCGUAAAGCGCGCGCAGGCGGCGAUCUACGUCUGGGGUGAAAGCCUGGAGCUCAACUCCGGGACUGCCUUGGAUACGGGAUCGCUUGAGGAUUGGAGAGGCAAGGGGAAUUCCACGUGUAGCGGUGAAAUGCGUAGAUAUGUGGAGGAACACCUGUGGCGAAGGCGCCUUGCUGGCCAAUUUCUGACGCUGAGGCGCGAAAGCGUGGGGAGCAAACAGG